GAGUUUGAUCAUGGCUCAGAUUGAACGCUGGCGGCAUGCCUUACACAUGCAAGUCGAACGGCAGCACGGGAGCUUGCUCCUGGUGGCGAGUGGCGAACGGGUGAGUAAUGCAUCGGAACGUAUCCUGGAGUGGGGGAUAACGUAGCGAAAGUUACGCUAAUACCGCAUAUUCUGUGAGCAGGAAAGCGGGGGACCUUCGGGCCUCGCGCUCUUGGAGCGGCCGAUGUCGGAUUAGCUAGUUGGUGAGGUAAAGGCUCACCAAGGCGACGAUCCGUAGCAGGUCUGAGAGGAUGAUCUGCCACACUGGAACUGAGACACGGUCCAGACUCCUACGGGAGGCAGCAGUGGGAAUUUUGGACAAUGGGGCAACCCUGAUCAGCCAUGCCGCGUGAGUGAAGAAGGCC
rnacentral:rRNA from 1 species